rnacentral:rRNA from 1 species
UACGUAGGGGGCAAGCGUUGUCCGGAUUCAUUGGGCGUAAAGAGCGUGUAGGCGGCCAGGUAGGUCGGUUGUGAAAACUGGAGGCUCAACCUUCAGAGGUCGACCGAAACCAUCUGGCUAGAGUCCGGGAGAGGAGAGUGGAAUUCCUGGUGUAGCGGUGAAAUGCGCAGAUAUCAGGAAGAACACCCGUGGCGAAAGCGGCUCACUGGACCACAACUGACGCUGAGGCGCGAAAGCUAGGGGAGCAAACAGG